rnacentral:miRNA from 1 species
UUAGCAUGUAUUAUCUUGGCACAAAAGUAAUUGUGUUUUUUGCCAUUACUUUCAAUGGCAAAAAACACAAUUAAUUUUAUGCUAACCUAAUAGU